rnacentral:misc_RNA from 1 species
AUUGGUCGAUAGUGUUGCUUAAUUGCUAAAAAUUUUGGUAAAGUAGACACGUCACUGCCCGGCGGCGAACGUACCGGCGACGGAAGUACCGGCGAGUGGUAGAAUUCGACUUUAACCGCCGGCAAACCGGAAGAAAUACACACAAAAAACCACGCACAUGAGCUGUUCGACAGUUUGCCAAGCUGUAGUAAGCUGUAUGAGUAUACCAAAUAGUACUAGUAGAAGUACGGCCGUAUUCUCUAAUACCCAGAAACUCGAUGGUGCAUUGGUGUUUCGUUCAUCUGUUUCGUAUAAUCGAGUGAAUGUAUUCUCCUCAUGUCGCUGUAGCG